GAACUCCUAUGAUGGUAUUUUUCUACCUACAUUGCUUGAUCGCUGAUGUGAUAUUAACCCAGAAACUGAGGAGUCA